CCAUCCUCCUCCCGCACGCAGAAUUAGAUCAGGGCGACCGGGCCAGGGAGGAUGGAGAACAGCAGCGGCCGGGAGGUGCUUCCGAACGGAGGAGGAGCCGGGGGGAUGGGCAACGGCGCGGCGAACGGGCGGGCGGUGCAGGCGCUGCAGCGGAGCUUCGCCGAGGUGCAGGUGAUCCUGGAGAAGAACCGGAUUCUGAUCCAGGAGAUCACCCAGAACCAGGAGUCGCUCGAGGCCGGCGGCCUCAGCCGCAACGUCGCCCUCAUCCGCGAGCUCAACAGCAACAUCGCCCGCGUCGUCGACCUCUACAACGCCCUCUCCUGCUCCUUCUCCAGCUCCCUCACCAACGGCUCCGCCCCCGCUGCCUCCGACGCCUCCAAGGGGGCCUACAAGAGGCCGCGCCCUGCCCAAUAGAAGAGACAGACCGUCGGCGCCCUCUUCUCCUCUGUUCAGAUUUAGAUUUCUGCUGUGGCCAUCCAUGGCCAGGGCUCAGCGGCAGGCAGAUUUGAGACUUCCUCUUUUUUUUCUUUUUCUUCUUCGUUUUCUUCUUUGUUUUAGCGUUGAGCUGAGAGAUAUGGACAUGGGCAGCUUGUUGUCAGAGAUGAAACAAAGAUGCAGGCAGCAGUGUGUGGCUGUAUCAGUAUGUAUCUGUGUUUGUGUUGUGUGUUGUUGUAUGGCCUACUGGCGCUGGUGUCUUUCUUUCAGGCCAGAUCGGAUGGAAUGAUUGCUUUGUCCUGUGAAGUCGGUUGGUGAGAGGAGAGAGAAGCGAUCCUGCUACUGCUACUGCUCAUCAUCAGGGAUCAAGAUGCAUUUUUUUCCAGGAAGCAAGCACUUCAAUCCCUGCAGAACUUAUUUGUUAUGACCUUCCAUUCUCAAACAUGGAAAUUCUUCAAGUUCUAGUUCGAUUUCUUCAAAGAAAAUUUCCCGUGCUUCAAGCAGCUCAAUAUCCAUAGAACACAUGAAAAUAACCCACGUCGCGAAGAAUUCAACUCACAUACACUUGCUUUCGAAAAUCUUGUGGGUGCCAAACAGUUCAAUUUCCGUAGAAACAUGGAAAAAUCCCUCCAAACCUUUCGAUUUCACUAGAAACGUGGAAAGUCCGCACACUUAGUUCAAUUCCCAUAGGAACAAGAAGUGCUCCUCCGAGGCGAUGACGAUGCUUGUAGUCGUCACUAGAUGAUCUACGGAUCUGGAUGUAAUUUUUAUUAUUUUUUAUAUUCGUUAUACUAUCCGG
rnacentral:rRNA from 1 species